GGGGGUGUGGCUUAGGAGGGCCUUAGUAAGGACUUUUCACUCUGCUUUUACCCCGAUAACUGCUGAUUGGAAAGCCUCAUGUCUUCUACAGACAGCACCUAACCUGAUUAUGGCCAUGUGCCCAGGAGGGCCUGGAACCAACUGGGCUGCAGGCAUGGAACAAUCAGGGCUGCAGACAGGGAGGAAAUUAGGCAGGCGGGAGGAAAUCAGGCUUCGGACAUGGAAGAAACAAGACGUGGGGGAAUACAAGGAAGAAACCUGUAUGCACACACAGAAGAAGCAAGGCUGGGAGCACUAGAGCAAUCGGCCUGCAAACUGGAAGACAGCUGAUGGCAGAAAUGGAAAGACUGAGACAGAGGCUAUAAAAGAGAUUCGGCUGCAGGCAUGGAAAACACAAGGUUCUGGGCAUGAGAGAGGAAGGAUGUGGGGGAAACUGGACUCCAGAUACACUGUGCAGAUGAAGUCACCGGCAUGCUGCAGGGAGACAGGGCUCAGCUGGGGGCCUAGGAAAUGGGUGCAGGUGGCAGGCCCAAGCCCCCCACCCAGGCUCCAGCCUUCACCUGGGUCCCACUGGCAGUGCCAGCCACGCGCAUCUUCACAAUGGCAGUGAUC
rnacentral:lncRNA from 1 species